rnacentral:rRNA from 1 species
UACGACGGGGGCUAGCGUUGUUCGGAAUCACUGGGCGUAAAGCGCACGCAGGCGGAUCGUUAAGUCAGGGGUGAAAUCCCGAGGCUCAACCUCGGAACUGCCUUUGAUACUGGCGAUCUUUGAGUCCGGGAGAGGUGAGUGGAACUCCGAGUGUAGAGGUGAAAUUCGUAGAUAUUCGGAAGAACACCAGUGGCGAAGGCGGCUCACUGGCCCGGUACUGACGCUCAUGUGCGAAAGCGUGGGGAGCAAACAGG